rnacentral:lncRNA from 1 species
AUUAAAGCUCUCUGAUGGGGAAGGGCUUAAAGGCUGAGUCAAAAGCCAAGAAGUCUCUUUAUUUACGCCUACCUCCCAGCCCCUGGCAAUCUGACUAAUAACAAACUGAGCUAACAAGAAAGACUAGAAACAGCAGAGAGAACAUAGAAGCAGCUUGGAUCUAAAAAUCAGACAAACCAAGUGAUCAAGUAAAGCCCUGCUGAACAUCUUGUUUGUUUACUGCAUCCAAAUGCUUGCAAACAGUUAACUAUAUGCAGAAAAGUCAGCAUAGCUGUGAAGUAUGCUGUGAAUUUUAAUUGAGGAAAAAGGACAACUGAUUACAGGAUGGUUUAAUGUGCACUCUGUCUGGAAGAUUUUUUCAAUUGAAAGCUUUGUACUUUGUCUUCUGAACAAGGAUUUUGACUUUAUGGAGCUGUAACGUUACCAGAGCUUGCAGCAAAGAAACUCAGACCAAAGUGUGCAUUUUUCACAAAGAAAAAUUACAUUGCAUUCAAACAGCUGCUCCAACUGUGUAUUACUGGGUAUUUUGGGCAGUUUUACGGCUGUGCAGAAUCACAGAAUUGACGAGGUUGGAAGAGACCUCUGAAGAUCAUCUAGUCCAACCCCUCUGCCAGGCAGAAUCACCUAAAGUACAUUGCACAUGAUGGCAUCCAGGGUGCACAAAAAGGUGGGAAAGGACAGAACCAAGACAUCUGACCCGAACUGGCCAGACCAAUAUUCCAUACCAGAUGACACCAUGCUGAACAAUAAAACUGAUUGGAGUUGGCUGGAGGAUGCUGAAGGGAAGGCUGCUGCUUGGGGUCUGGCUAGGCAUCGGUCAGCAGGUGGUGAGCAAUUUCAUUGUGCAUGCUACGUAUGUUCUUUUA